rnacentral:rRNA from 1 species
CCGGGGUUUCGUUCUACUGCUACCGUCAUUAUCUUCACAGUUGAAAGAGCUUUAGACCCUAGGGCCUUCGUCACUCACGCGGCAUGGCUAGAUCAGGGUUUCCCCCAUUGUCUAAGAUUCCCCA